UCAGGCCUAACACAUGCAAGUCGAACGGUAACGCGGGGCAACCUGGCGACGAGUGGCGAACGGGUGAGUAAUGCAUCGGAACGUGCCCGGUAGUGGGGGAUAACUGCUCGAAAGAGCAGCUAAUACCGCAUACGACCUGAGGGUGAAAGGGGGGGAUCGCAAGACCUCUCGCUAUCGGAGCGGCCGAUGUCGGAUUAGCUAGUUGGUGGGGUAAAGGCCCACCAAGGCAACGAUCCGUAGCUGGUCUGAGAGGACGACCAGCCACACUGGGAGUGAGACACGGCCCAGACUCCUACGGGAGGCAGCAGUGGGGAAUUUUGGACAAUGGACGCAGGUCUGAUUCAAAAGAGCCGCGUGCGGGAAGAAGGCCUUCGGGUU
rnacentral:rRNA from 1 species